rnacentral:rRNA from 1 species
GAAUAAGCACCGGCUAACUCUGUGCCAGCAGCCGCGGUAAUACAGAGGGUGCGAGCGUUAAUCGGAAUUACUGGGCGUAAAGCGAGCGUAGGUGGCUUAAUAAGUCAGAUGUGAAAUCCCCGGGCUUAACCUGGGAACUGCAUCUGAAACUGUUCGGCUAGAGUAGGUGAGAGGGAAGUAGAAUUCCAGGUGUAGCGGUGAAAUGCGUAGAGAUCUGGAGGAAUACCGAUGGCGAAGGCAGCUUCCUGGCAUCAUACUGACACUGAGGUUCGAAAGCGUGGGUAGCAAACAGGAUUAGAUACCCUGGUAGUCCACGCCGUAAACGAUGUCUACUAGUCGUUGGGUCCCUUGAGGACUUAGUGACGCAGCUAACGCAAUAAGUAGACCGCCUGGGGAGUACGGCCGCAAGGUUAAAACUCAAAUGAAUUGACGGGGGCCCGCACAAGCGGUGGAGCAUGUGGUUUAAUUCGAUGCAACGCGAAGAACCUUACCUGGUCUUGACAUACACAGAAUCUUGCAGAGAUGCGAGAGUGCCUUCGGGAAUUGUGAUACAGGUGCUGCAUGGCUGUCGUCAGCUCGUGUCGUGAGAUGUUGGGUUAAGUCCCGCAACGAGCGCAACCCUUUUCCUUAGUUACCAGCACUUCGGGUGGGAACUCUAAGGAUACUGCCAGUGACAAACUGGAGGAAGGCGGGGACGACGUCAAGUCAUCAUGGCCCUUACGACCAGGGCUACACACGUGCUACAAUGGUAGGUACAGAGGGCAGCUACACAGCGAUGUGAUGCGAAUCUCAAAAAGCCU